rnacentral:rRNA from 1 species
CCUACGGGCGGCAGCAGUGGGGAAUAUUGCACAAUGGGCGCAAGCCUGAUGCAGCCAUGCCGCGUGUGUGAAGAAGGCCUUCGGGUUGUAAAGCACUUUCAGCGGGGAGGAAGGCGGUGAGGUUAAUAACCUCAUCGAUCGACGUUACCCGCAGAAGAAGCACCGGCUAACUCCGUGCCAGCAGCCGCGGUAAUACGGAGGGUGCAAGCGUUAAUCGGAAUUACUGGGCGUAAAGCGCACGCAGGCGGUCUGUCAAGUCGGAUGUGAAAUCCCCGGGCUCAACCUGGGAACUGCAUUCGAAACUGGCAGGCUAGAGUCUUGUAGAGGGGGGUAGAAUUCCAGGUGUAGCGGUGAAAUGCGUAGAGAUCUGGAGGAAUACCGGUGGCGAAGGCGGCCCCCUGGACAAAGACUGACGCUCAGGUGCGAAAGCGUGGGGAGCAAACAGGAUUAGAUACCUCUGUAGUC